GUUAAGUUUUUAAACCUGAAUUAUUAUUAGUUAAGUUCUUGAAAAUUAAAAUAGAUGGCGGUAUUUUAGUCUAUUCAGAGGAAUCUGCCCUGUAAUUGAUAUUCCACGAUUUUAUAAACUUGGGGUUUUAGCUUGCAUAUCGCUGUGAAUUGAAUAUUUUUGUUGAAUUUUAAUAUUCAUAAUUUUUGUUGAAAGGAUAUCAAGUCAAGAUGUAGCUUAUACCUAAGGGUGAGGUGGAUUACAAUAAAUUUAUUUAUGGUCAGGCUUUUGUAAAGGGUUUGUAAAUUGGAUUUGAAAGUAAUUUUUUAUUAAAAUUUGAUAAAUGAUUAAAGCUCUAAAAUA
rnacentral:rRNA from 1 species